GAAACAGAUGAGAGGCAGGAAAUACCAAAUUGCAUGUUUAUAAAUGCUGUGAAGGAAUAUGGCAAGAGGGGAUAAUGCUAGACUGGCGGCCAUGGAAACUGAAGUCUUCUGUUUGUUCACAGGACGGCUCAUAGCCCUGAAAGUCCCAGUUCAAGCUUCCACAAUCAUCCUACACAAGAGCACUGCUUCUCACAGGACUGCCUCAGCCUGGCAGGAUUCAGUCUCCUGCUCUGAGGGAAAAACAGGAAGUCAAGGAUCAAGACCGAGUGCUCAACUGAGAUCAGAAAGGAGGACACACAGUGACUUGGCCAAAUCACUGGAGAUUCACACAGCAGAGCUCAGACGAGUGCUAUCAGCACAGCUGAGGAAGACAACAGUUAGGGUGCAAGGAUCCUGAAAGAGAAACAUUGGUUGUGUUUUUAUUCCUUGGGUAUAAGAAUCCUGAAAGAGAAAGGCAUCUGAACCUUGGAGGCAUGGGGUUCAUCUCAUCCUCAUCCAGCCUGUGAUGAUGGAGCUGUUUUCACCAGAAACGUGAGGAGACUCAUACCACUUGAGAACUAUUUGUUGGAGUGCCAGAUUAUUUAAGGGCCUUUGCAUGUUUCAAGUCCUCUUCUUAAAGUAAGAAUACUCUCCACAUUUAUAACAGCAACAAAAACACCAAUGUCAGCACAAAAUGCAAAAACGGAGGCACUUCUAUGUCAUAAUGAUACAUCAGAGUUCUGCUCAACUCUUUUUUAGAAAAAGAAGCUCAGACUUACACACAUCCAC
rnacentral:lncRNA from 1 species